CCCAGACUCCUACGGGAGGCAGCAGUGGGGAAUAUUGGGCAAUGGGCGCAAGCCUGACCCAGCAACGCCGCGUGAAGGAAGAAGGCUUUCGGGUUGUAAACUUCUUUUGACAGGGAAGAGUAGAAGGCGGUACCUGUCGAAUAAGCCACGGCUAACUACGUGCCAGCAGCCGCGGUAAUACGUAGGUGGCAAGCGUUGUCCGGAUUUACUGGGUGUAAAGGGCGUGUAGCCGGGUUGACAAGUCAGAUGCGAAAUCCUGCGGCUUAACCGCAGAACUGCAUUUGAAACUGUUGAUCUUGAGUACUGGAGAGGCAGACGGAAUUCCUAGUGUAGCGGUGAAAUGCGUAGAUAUUAGGAGGAACACCAGUGGCGAAGGCGGCUUACUGGACAGUAACUGACGUUGAGGCUCGAAAGCGUGGGGAGCAAACAGGAUUAGAUACCCUAGUA
rnacentral:rRNA from 1 species